rnacentral:rRNA from 1 species
UUCGCCCUUAGAGUUUGAUCCUGGCUCAGGACGAACGCUGGCGGCGUGCCUAACACAUGCAAGUCGAGCGGAGACAUGUUCUGGAAGCCUUCGGGUGAAAGGGAUAUGUUUUAGCGGCGGACGGGUGAGUAACGCGUGAGCAACCUGUCCCAAACAGGGGGAUAAGAUAGCGAAAGCUGUUCUAAUACCGCAUGAGACCACAGAGUCACAUGACUUAGGGGUCAAAGGAGGAAUCCGGUUUGGGGUGGGCUCGCGUCUGAUUAGAUAGUUGGUGAGGUAACGGCCCACCAAGUCAACGAUCAGUAGCCGACCUGAGAGGGUGAUCGGCCACAUUGGGACUGAGACACGGCCCAGGCUCCUACGGGAGGCAGCAGUGGGGAAUAUUGGGCAAUGGGGGAAACCCUGACCCAGCAACGCCGCGUGAAGGAAGAAGGUCUUCGGAUCGUAAACUUCUGUCCUUAAAGACGAGAAAGAGACGGUAUUUAAGGAGGAAGCCCCGGCUAACUACGUGCCAGCAGCCGCGGUAAUACGUAGGGGGCAAGCGUUGUCCGGAAUGAUUGGGCGUAAAGGGCGCGUAGGCGGCUUGCUAAGUCUGGAGUGAAAGUCCUGCUUUUAAGGUGGGAAUUGCUUUGGAUACUGGCAGGCUUGAGUGCAGGAGAGGUUAGUGGAAUUCCCAGUGUAGCGGUGAAAUGCGUAGAGAUUGGGAGGAACACCAGUGGCGAAGGCGACUAACUGGACUGUAACUGACGCUGAGGCGCGAAAGUGUGGGGAGCAAACAGGAUUAGAUACCCUGGUAGUCCACACUGUAAACGAUGAAUGCUAGGUGUAGGGGGAAUCGACCCCUUCUGUGCCGGAGUCAACACAAUAAGCAUUCCGCCUGGGGAGUACGGCCGCAAGGUUGAAACUCAAAGGAAUUGACGGGGGCCCGCACAAGCAGCGGAGCAUGUGGUUUAAUUCGACGCAACGCGAAGAACCUUACCAGGUCUUGACAUCCAUGUAAAGCGAUAGAGAUAUCGUGUGGACUUCGGUCCGACAUGAGACAGGUGGUGCAUGGUUGUCGUCAGCUCGUGUCGUGAGAUGUUGGGUUAAGUCCCGCAACGAGCGCAACCCCUAUCCUUAGUAGCCAGCAGUAAGAUGGGCACUCUAGGGAGACUGCCGGGGAUAACCCGGAGGAAGGUGGGGAUGACGUCAAAUCAUCAUGCCCCUUAUGAUUUGGGCUACACACGUGCUACAAUGGCGUAAACAAAGGGAAGCAAAGCUGUGAAGCCGAGCAAAUCUCAAAAAUAACGUCUCAGUUCGGACUGUAGUCUGCAACCCGACUACACGAAGCUGGAAUCGCUAGUAAUCGCAGAUCAGAAUGCUGCGGUGAAUACGUUCCCGGGUCUUGCACUCACCGCCCGUCA